UACAGAGGUCUCAAGCGUUGUUCGGAUUCAUUGGGCGUAAAGGGUGUGUAGGUGGCGCCGUAAGUCGGGUGUGAAAUUCGUCGGGCUUAACUCCGAAACUGCAUUCGAUACUGCGGUGCUUGAGGACUGGAGAGGAGACUGGAAUUCAUGGUGUAGCAGUGAAAAUGCGUAGAGAUCAUGAGGAAGACCAGUGGCGAAGGCGGGUCUCUGGACAGUUCCUGACACUGAGACACGAAGGCCAGGGGAGCAAAACGGGAUUAGAACUACCUAG
rnacentral:rRNA from 1 species